UCAGUCACCACAGGUUAUGCUCUCUUAGAUUCUUAACAUUUGUACUAAUUCUAGAAUACAGGAAAGCAACAGAAAAGGGAAAAGCAGUCUUCAAAGCUGUGAGUAGAUGCACUUCAGCUUUAUCAGCUCUUUCAAUGGAGAAGGUUAAAGUAGAAGGCUGAAAUCUUUCAGAGACAAGGCUCAAGAGAGCAAGCAAAACAUUACAGGACAAUGGACAGAUCAAGGUAGCCACUCCCAGUCAAGGACUGCAUGAGCUGCCCAGAGCAAGACUUUUUAGGAUAUGGUACACAGCUGGGAGCCUGCCAACUCCUGGUUUUGUCAUUACCCUCAGAACUCCAGAACGUAAGUUCCAUGAAGGUUCUGUCAUGCUAUCAUCACAGCAGCUUUAUCAAACCAGGACUAAAAACCCAUUCAUGGAGCACUUUAAAUUAGCAAGCUUCUAUUAAUCACUAAUGGGUGGAACUCUGGAGAUGAAAGCUACCUGCUUCUUAAGCAGCACUGGUGGAAGACAAACAUAUGAAUAAAUGCACGGGUACACACACACACAAACACACACACACAGUGUUAUGGGAGCUAAAGAAAAGAAGAGUUAUAAUUCUGCUUAGAAAAGUCAGGGAAGUCCUCAUAGAUGAGCUGAUACAUGAACCAUAUUUUGAAGGAUACGCAGCAAGCCAAAAAUGGACCUGGUGAGUAAAGGUUAUUAUUGAUAAAGAGAACCUCGCAAAACACAGAGUUUGGUGUGUCGGGACUACAGUGGCUGUGGUAUAGGCAUGUACAAGAAGCAGUGUCACACGAAGGUUAAGAUAAUAGACUCUGGCAUCAUUCUCCCUGGUAUGAACCCUGGCACUGCCCUUGAACAAAUUCAUUGUUAAUUUCUUUGUGACUUAAUUUCCUUCUCUAUAUAAUAGGAAAAGAAACAAUAUCUAAACUGUAGGGUUUUUAAGGGUUAAAUGAAAUAGUACUGUAAUACCUGGCACAUAAUAAACACUUAAAAAUGUUAACUAUCAGUAGUAUUAUCCCCAAAAGCCAACUACUUCUUGAGUAAUCAGUAUCACUAUUAUGAGUGAAAUUUCCCCCACAUGUGUCUUCACACUAACAAUAAGCAAUAUUAGAUUACGGUUGUACAUUCCUUUGGACAGGUACUCUCUUCUACAAGUCAGAAAUCUAUUCCUGGGGGUAGCUUCCAAGUCAUAUAUUCUGAAUGGUUGUCUGAAUAGCUGUUUCACAGCCCCUCUAAGCAUUCAGGUCUUCUAAAUUAUGAAGUAAGUUGAUAAAUGGGCAUAUAAAAAUAAGUGCAAGGAACAUACUGUUGCUAGAUACCUUACGUACAUACUUGUGGAGGAGACAUGUAUUCAUCAAGAUACAUAAAGUUUAUCUUUUGAAGAGAAGACAAUCAUAUUGAAAGAAACAUGUUAUCAUUUGGGCUGGAAAACUCAGAAAUCAAUCCUCUAAUUUCAAGUGAUUUGACACAGAUAUCUUUUGCAUUGGCUAAAUCUGGGCAUUUGAAUGCAAGAAAGACCCGAAGAAAUUAAUUUCCUAAAAGCUAGCUCCCUUUAGCUGAAAAAUAUUAAAUAAUGAUGAUCACUUCAUAAAUAAAAAUAAAAUUCUAAGUCUGCCUCCAACUAGAUGAACGAACCCCCUGUUGGCCAAAGGGAAAUCAGAGAAACCCUGGAAGCUGAGUUCCUGGCCAUGACAGGAUGGGAGGUAGGACACACUUUGUCACGUUGUAGUCUCUUUGUUAACUGCCUUUAGGCUUUCUUAUGUAAGGGCGAAACAGAAACCAGCCCUUUCAAAAGACUCCACUGCUAUUUCAACCAACUGCCUUAUUGCUGGCUCUCCCUUUUGUGGUUUUGGCACAACAGCCAACCAGCAUUUCUUUUUGAUAAAGGAGCACUCACCAUGGAGUGGUUCUGGCCAGUCUGUGGAGGAUACACAGUGAGAGUUUUCGUGUCCCCUGCUUUACCCUUUGACAUCAGAGGGUGGAAAAUUCCACCCCUGGAUCAUGCUAAUGCUGCCAUUUUUCGAACAUGGGUCCCAUGGAGAGGCCUGAGGCUCAGUUGCCCAUGGGCAGGUCUCUCCUUUCAUGAAUAUUUAUGACUCCUCCUAUAGUUUAUUGAAUAUGCAUAUUUGGCCACCUCAUUCAGCAUAAAUCCCCAUCCUAUUUGUCUCACCCUUGAAGCAGUCUGUUUCUUGCUUCUGGCCGGAGGCCGCGCCUCCCAGUCUAUCAGAAUAGCCACCUUGCAGGCUGCAACCCUUUAUAAGAAAUAAAGCUCUCCUUUCCACUUGGAUGAACCUUGUCAUUCUUCAGCUGACCUGCUUCAACAGAUACCACUGAAAGAUACAAAGAAAGUGGGCAGGGCACAUAACCUUGAUGUUUAGAUUCCACAUUCCACCACUUUACAAGAGAGUUUUAAGUCAUUAUGAAGUCCAGAGAGCCACUAAGGAACUGCUGUUUGGAUGAUGUCAGCAGAUUUAGAGGGAGCUAUUUCCCCAGAGAUGACCAAGUUCCACAGUCAAGAGAUCUUUUCUAGUUUUCUAUGUCAGGCCAUCUGGGAAAGGGAAAAAUGAUCAUUUUGGUGAAGGGAAGUUGCAGCUAGAAGCAAAUAAAUCCUGUAUACAGGAUAAAAUGAGAUAUAUGAAUAUAAGUCAAACUAAAGAGCUAUAGAGAUACCAGACCUACUGCCCAUGUCACUAAGCAGGUAAAUGUGCGUAUUCAGCUGUUGUAAGCCAAAAGAAAGUGGUGAGGUCAGGCUUGGAGUGUGCCUGCCCCAGUAAAGGAAGGACAAUUAAAAAAAAAUUGUUAAAGCAUUGCACAAGCCACACUAAAUACACCUGUUUCCAGGACCAGGAUUCUAUCUGUUUUAUAAUCCUGUGGGCUCAUGGCCUCUGGCCUAUGCUGAGAGGGGAGAAAUCACACUGUGGGGCAGAACUGAAAAUAUCAUUGGUUAAUAAACAUGCAAUUAGGUAGAUAAACGGAAGGAAUAGAAUUUAUAGUUGUAUGUCCUCAGGAAGGAUAAGAGUGAACUUCAGUUGGAGAGAAGAGAAAGGGGGAAACCAGUCAAGCAGGCAGUUAGGGUGGGUCCUUGGUUGAAUUCUUUCAAACAAAAGAAUAGCCUGAAAAAUCAAGCUGCAGGUACAGAUAAGGGAACUUGUACAGAGGGGCUUGCCUAAGACACGCCCUCAAUGGAAAAUUCCAUCCCCUAAUACAAGCGCAGUAAGGGAAGCAAAGCAAUAUGGAGUAACUCAAGCUAAGGGCCUGUAUGCACAUUAGGAGAACAGAAGUGGAGCUACCAGAAAUUCAUGGCUUAUGCAAAUGAGACCCCCAGCCCUCCUCAGUUUCUUAUAAAAGUCUUUGCAUUCAACUGUAAAAAUGGCAGCCCUCUUCCCGGUCCCAUCUCCAUGGCAGAGAGCUUUCUUCUUGCGCUUAUUAAACUUUCGCUCCAACCUCACCCUUUGUGUCCACACUUCUUAAUUCUCUUGGUUGUGAGAUGAAAAACUCCGUGGUGCAUUGGCGAGACUGUAAUAGUAAGAUCUACAUUAAAUUAGGGAAAUUACUAUGGGGGUCUAUAUUCUAUAGCUUUGCCAGUUUGUUCUUAGGAUUUUCUGUUUUGCCUAUGAAUUGGGGUGCAGGGAGAGGGAGUUGAGCAAAAAAGCAGUAAGAUUUUUCCAUGCUGGUCCUUCCACUGAGUGGGGCUUUUGUAAAAUAAUGAGAUAUUACAUCCUUAUGGUAAGUUCUUUCAGCUUACUUAACUUCUUUGUGUUUCCUCUUUGAAAGGGCAAACAGAUAAUGUACUGCCCAAAUUCUAAUGACAAAACCAAAUACACAGGGAGUGGCUCUCGUGAAGUCUCCUCCAUUACUUGCCUAAAACUCAAUUAUUAGCAUCAUUGUAAGCACCUUUUAGCCAGGUUGGAGCUCCACAAAAAAAAAGACCUAAAAUUCCAUAGGAGUAGAGUCUUAGCCUAGGAAGUAAGAGUCCUUUGAUAUAGAAUUUAAAAUGUGUGAUGCUAAUAAGCUAUAUGAUUAUUUUUUGAAGUUACUGUUUAAUAUUACUUUGAAAGAUUUUGUUUUUAAAGGAGGUGAUCUGGUAUCAUUAGGAAGGAGAAACUAAAGUCUGGGCAAGUUUGUAAAUGGAAAAAAAAAUAAACAUCGGGUGAAAAGAGCAAUGUAUGAGGAAAAAAUUCUAUUGAAGGGUAAAGAAGUAAAGAUGCAGUGUUGCUUUUUUGGUAGUUGUUGUCUUGAAAAGACAAGGUAAGUUUAGUUUCAGGAUGGAGACAGCCCAAGACCCCAGGGCUCCAACCAGUAGGUGAAGAACCAGUCAUUUUUGGUUAAAAUGAGAAGAGACCUCUCUAUUCCAUGGAACAGUGCUUUCUUUUUGUUGUUGUUGUUCUUGUUGUUUUUCAUGAUACUUUAUUUUUUGAAUAGACAAAUAAAUGAAUGAACUGACACAAAAUCACUUACCAAG